AACGAACGCUGGCGGCAUGCCUAAUACAUGCAAGUCGAACGAGACCUUCGGGUCUAGUGGCGCACGGGUGCGUAACGCGUGGGAAUCUGCCCUUGGGUUCGGAAUAACUUCGGGAAACUGAAGCUAAUACCGGAUGAUGACGAAAGUCCAAAGAUUUAUCGCCCAGGGAUGAGCCCGCGUAGGAUUAGCUAGUUGGUGGGGUAAAGGCUCACCAAGGCAACGAUCCUUAGCUGGUCUGAGAGGAUGAUCAGCCACACUGGGACUGAGACACGGCCCAGACUCCUACGGGAGGCAGCAGUAGGGAAUAUUGGACAAUGGGCGAAAGCCUGAUCCAGCAAUGCCGCGUGAGUGAUGAAGGCCUUAGGGUUGUAAAGCUCUUUUACCCGAGAUGAUAAUGACAGUAUCGGGAGAAUAAGCUCCGGCUAACUCCGUG
rnacentral:rRNA from 1 species